rnacentral:rRNA from 1 species
CGGAGAGUUUGAUCCUGGCUCAGGAUGAACGCUGGCGGCGUGCCUAAUACAUGCAAGUCGAACGCUUUGUGGUUCAACUGAUUUGAAGAGCUUGCUCAGAUAUGACGAUGGACAUUGCAAAGAGUGGCGAACGGGUGAGUAACACGUGGGAAACCUACCUCUUAGCAGGGGAUAACAUUUGGAAACAGAUGCUAAUACCGUAUAACAAUAGCAACCGCAUGGUUGCUACUUAAAAGAUGGUUCUGCUAUCACUAAGAGAUGGUCCCGCGGUGCAUUAGUUAGUUGGUGAGGUAAUGGCUCACCAAGACGAUGAUGCAUAGCCGAGUUGAGAGACUGAUCGGCCACAAUGGGACUGAGACACGGCCCAUACUCCUACGGGAGGCAGCAGUAGGGAAUCUUCCACAAUGGGCGAAAGCCUGAUGGAGCAACGCCGCGUGUGUGAUGAAGGGUUUCGGCUCGUAAAACACUGUUGUAAGAGAAGAAUGACAUUGAGAGUAACUGUUCAAUGUGUGACGGUAUCUUACCAGAAAGGAACGGCUAAAUACGUGCCAGCAGCCGCGGUAAUACGUAUGUUCCAAGCGUUAUCCGGAUUUAUUGGGCGUAAAGCGAGCGCAGACGGUUAUUUAAGUCUGAAGUGAAAGCCCUCAGCUCAACUGAGGAAUUGCUUUGGAAACUGGAUGACUUGAGUGCAGUAGAGGAAAGUGGAACUCCAUGUGUAGCGGUGAAAUGCGUAGAUAUAUGGAAGAACACCAGUGGCGAAGGCGGCUUUCUGGACUGUAACUGACGUUGAGGCUCGAAAGUGUGGGUAGCAAACAGGAUUAGAUACCCUGGUAGUCCACACCGUAAACCAUGAGUG